rnacentral:ncRNA from 2 species
UUGCCCAUCGGGGCCUCGGAUACCUGCUUUCUUUUU